UAAUAUGUGUCAUGGCUAAAACCUUCUUCUCUAUAAGGCCAAAAAUCUAAUUCUCUAAAUUAUUCUUGACCCUCUAACAAAGGAACAAAUAUUGCACCCUCCUCUGCUAUCCCUAAACUAAUCUUUCUUGAUGAAGAAUAGAUUGGCAGUAAUUGAGAUAUUAUUCUUGCCUCAAAAUACACAAAGAGAGUAUCAUUCACCAUUCUAGGAUAAAAAAAGAG
rnacentral:lncRNA from 1 species